rnacentral:rRNA from 13 species
GACAUCACUCGCAGAAGAAGCACCGGCUAACUCCGUGCCAGCAGCCGCGGUAAUACGGAGGGUGCAAGCGUUAAUCGGAAUUACUGGGCGUAAAGCGCGCGUAGGUGGCUAAGUCAGCCAGGUGUGAAAGCCCCGGGCUCAACCUGGGAACGGCAUCUGGAACUGCUUGGCUAGAGUGCAGGAGAGGAAGGUAGAAUUC